AUUGGUGGAAGGAGAGACAUGCACCACAGAGACAGAGGCGUGAGGUGUCUGGCUCUGACGUCCCUGCUCAGGAGCCUGCUGGUGAGAGCGAAGCCAGUCCCUGUUCUUUAUAGAAGUCUGAGUCACUGCUGUUGCCUUUGAAAUAGGCUGGAGACGCCAUGUAACCAGCUGCCUCGUGUUCCCCGCCACGAUGGACUAUACCCCCUUGAACUGUAAGACAUAACAAAGCCUUCCUCCCUUAAGCGGCUUCUGUCAGCUGGGCUUAUUACCUACCAGAGCAACAGAACUGCAGAGAAGAAUUCGGGUCCUGCCCGGAGAUUGCAGAGAAGAGGCAAGAGAAUGAUGAUCUGGGAGAGAGGGGGAGGCUGCUGGAGGAGAGGAGCUGUGGUCAGUCCUAAGGUGAGAGCAUGCUGAUGCUGGAGCCCACUGACCCACCCCUCUGUCCGUGACCUUUACCUACCCAGCUGAGCACAGAGAUUUACAUGUAGAGAUGCUCAUUCGCCUGGAGCGGCUAUUGAAGAUGCACUGGGCAGUGAAGUUGCAGGUGCCCGGCCUCACACAUUCCAGAGGUAUUUGGACACUUAAGGCCCCCAAGGGACAGUAGAGCAACCGUCUGUUUCCGUGGACAAAAAACAAGAGCAGGCUAGGGGUCAUUUGUCAUAUAGAACAUGAUAUUUGCUGAAGAAAUCAACCCUAACUUUAUUAUUUAAUGGAAGAAAUGUGCCAAGUAUGAUGCUCUGGGAGGCUUCGAUCUUUAUUGCUAGUGACAGCAAGUCUCUCAGAGGCUUCUGUGGCUGGAGACCUGGAGUCAUCUCUCUAACACUGUGUCAAGAUGGAGAGUCUGCUGGAGGAGAGCAUCAGUGAGCCUGGGCCAAGAUGCCUGUACCAGGUCGCAGGUGCCUACUGCUGCAUGCAUACAGGGACCUGCCUAUGUGGAGGUCCCUCCAAGGCCACUUCAACAUGAUGGAAUUAUAACAGCACCCUGCACAGGGAUCAGAAAACAAAAUGCCACCCAUGGAGAACACAUUCCAAAACACCACAGAAUUCACUGGGGUAGGGGGUGGAGCUCCAUAGAAUCCACUCCUGGGGGUGGGUAGCUUCACAGAAUCCACUGUGGGGAUACCCUAGCUCCACUGAGCCUGCUCACCCUUUUUUGACUUACAAAUGUCCUUUUGGUUGAUGGAUCAAGAUACAUUAUAUACAAGUAUACAAUUGUCAAA